ACGUAGGAGGCAAACGUUAUCCGGAUUUACUGCGCGUAAAUCUCGUGUAUUUGGUUUGGUAAGUAGAGCGUGAAAGCUCCUGGCUCAACUGGGAGAGGUCGUUCUAAACUGCCGGACUAGAGGAUGGUAGAGGGAGGUGGAAUUCCGGGUGUAGCGGUUGAAUGCGCAGAUAUCCGGAGGAACACCAGUGGCGAAAGCGGCCUCCUGGCCCACUAAUGAAGUAUUUUUUUGUGUGUUUUUUUUGUUGUUGG
rnacentral:rRNA from 1 species